rnacentral:lncRNA from 1 species
ACCGGCAAAAAUGAGAAUUUUUUUUCAUUAAAAUCAUUAUUUUUCAAAUUUUUUUUUUAUACUUUUUCUAGAAACCAAACGACCCCAUCACUAUCCAAUUCAAUUAGUCUUUACUAACACCGACCGUUUCUAGAGCAAGUGACAAAGGGCUUGGUGGUUGGUACCCGAGACCCAAGUUCGAAUCCUAGUUGAUUCAUAUUUCCAGCUAAGUUUAUUUUUAAAUGAAAUAAACGAAGCGGGCAGCGUGCUACCUAUCUCUCUCAAAAAAAAAAAAAAAAAAAAGUCUUU